rnacentral:lncRNA from 10 species
AAAUGUUUAAUUAAAGAGUCUAUUUUUACAUAAAUAUUUGAAAGUUAUCUUUGUAUGCCAUAAAAUAAUGCUUCCCGUUCUUAUGGUACUUUAUAUUUUUCAGGUGAUUUCAUACAGUAUCCUUCACCAGAAUUUGGUUACACAUCGGGGAGCCACUGCUGGUCUUUUAGAAAUGAGAAAACUGAACCCACUAGAGUUUCCCACAAGGCACUCGGCAGCAUUGGGAAGAUCUUCGCCCCUCAAUGGGACCUAUCAGGAUGGACUGCUGCUCGCCUUGGCUUUGAGGUCAUAUGCUAAAUGA